GGAAUGAACGCUGGCGGCAUGCUUUACACAUGCAAGUCGAGCGAGGCGUGGAGCAAUCCACAGUCGAGCGGCGAACGGGUGAGUAACGCGUGGAUGACCUGCCCUUCAGCGGGGAAUAACCCGGGGGAAACUCGGGCUAAUACCGCAUACGACCGAGAGGUGAAAGGGGGCCGCAAGGCUCUCACUGGAGGAGGGGUCCGCGUUCGAUUAGCUAGUUGGUAGGGUAAUGGCCUACCAAGGCGACGAUCGAUAGCCGGCCUGAGAGGGUGAUCGGCCACACUGGAACUGAGACACGGUCCAGACUCCUACGGGAGGCAGCAGUGGGAAUUUGCGCAAUGGGCUAACGCCUGACGCAGCAACGCCGCGUGGACGGAUGAAGGUCGUUUAGGAUUGUAAACUCCUGUCAGCGAGGGAAAAGGACACGACCUCAUACGUCGUGAACUUGAUUGUACCUGACAGACGUAAGCCCCGGCUAACGUCUGUCGCCAGCACGCCGUACGUAAUCGUGA
rnacentral:rRNA from 1 species